rnacentral:misc_RNA from 1 species
UCUAGCACGCCUCUGGCUCCAUACAUAGACAGAGAGGCGGUGCCACCCCCCGUCCCCUUGGCUGAGGGCCGUUAACCCCGCACUUGCUCACUCUCCUUCACCUGCUAUUGCUUUCGUUUGGCAAGCUCGCGACAAGACUACCAAGUUUUUCGAUGCACGUGCCGAGUGCAGAUAAAAAACGAUUCACAGAGAAACACGUACAUUGACACCGUUCCCAGCGGCUCUCUCCACGUGCGUGCCUCCACCCUCACGAACACAUGCAGCGGGAGGAAGUCUGUGGAACUCGAGAAGGCUGGUAAGUUCACUGUGCGGUAAGUCUUUCGCUCUCUCUUUCUGUGUUCCGUUUUCCUCAUCCACUACAGAGAGACAGCUUCAGCGCGCGUGCGAAAACCACCAACUCGCCCUGAAGCGAUCGUAUUGGGCUUAUCGGCCAAGUGAAGGCAGAGGACGCCGCAUCUCUUCAUCUUCGGUUAUGUGAUUCGAAAAGAGGUCUGACAUCGCGCCAGCUUCGCCAUAGAGAGAGGAGGCACAAAACGAAGCACUCACGCAAGCAAGAGGACACCGCGAUACACACCCAGAGAGGGAGAGAGAUAAGUCGCAUGUCUAUUACUGGCGAAGCGCGUUACGCAUCAAGUCCGCACAGCGCCAUCUCGGUAUCCUCCUCUUCCCUCAAUGCUACUUCCUCGUCAACAUCGCCAUCUCAACUCGUUGAGUAUCCUGGCAGGAGAGGCAGCGGUAGUGGUAUUCUCGAUGAUGAGGGAGUGUCGCCCCGUGCGCGCAGCCCUCGGCUGUACGCGGACAGAUCUGUGAAACGGCGACGGCAGUUCACCGAUGGCAGGCAUCAUCAGCUCCUCGUGUACGUGGCACCGUCCACGACACGUCAGUUUGUGUCCGUGUCGAGCGCGCAGGCAUACUUAUUGCGGAACCGCAGCGCUUCACGUGGCCAUCUCUUGAGCACGACAGAAAACCCGGAAGACGACGCUUGCGCCCACCAAUCAGCGUUGCGUGGCGGGCACUGGUGUAUCGCGUACGAGGUCGAUGCCAGCUGGCGAGCGGCCGUGUCCGCCUGCAGUGAUACGGAAGCGGCUUCUACCCCCUUUUCUCCGGUACGCUGGUGCUUCACGCUGGAGCCGCUACCUGCAGAGCAGCUGGCGAUGUGCCGCGCCGCUCUCUGGGCCUGCAUCUCCGUCUCCUCAGGCACCGCGGCAGCCGAUCACACACCUCCGCGGCAGUGCGCAACCGCAUCCUCGAGGCCGACGGCAUCGCAGGACUGGAUGCUGCACGACAUUCUUGUCACACCCCUCUACGUGUGCGUGAAUGCCGCGGCUGUCGUGCCGCUCAACACAAGCGCUGAUCUUCUUCUGGUGCGCAGAGUUGCAAGCGGGGGUGUGCCGGCCGAUGCUGCGGAGGUGAUGGCUGCAGCGUCAGCUGCGCUGGAGGUCCUGCUGCGUGAGUCGCCGACGUGUGGCGCGCUUGUCUACGCUCUACUGCAGCAGCAGCGGCAGCGGACGGUGCACGAUACCGUAGCCUCGCCUCUUUCCAUUCUGGACAGCAGCGCCUGCAUCUUUGCAGAGGGGAGCGACUUUACCCAAUACGAGGAGGCGCUGGCUGCAGACGUGUACGUGUCGGCGGUGCCUUCGUUGCCGGCAGCACCACCGUCGACACGCCUCCCAGGGACUCGCUCGCCAGCUGAGACGACGCAGUUGGUGACAUCGCCGUCUGCGCCACCCGAGGAAGAGGGAGGCAACGCAUUCGACCACAGCUUCGAGGCAUGGGCUGCGAAGGUGUCGCAACAUCUCCUGCGUCGAUGGGCGCGCCUACCGUCGCAGACUGUUCUUUGCUGUGGGGAGCGGCAGGCGACGCUGCGGCAUCGCAGAGGACUGGUGCUCCGUCACGCCGCGGAUGUGCGGGGUAGCACCACGCCCGCUUCUGCUACUCAGAGUGACUCAUAUGUGCGGAGACUCAGGGCAGCGCUCUAUCUUCUGGACGCACUGCGACCCGUUGGCAGUUUGCCGGGAAGACAUAUCUGUGACCGCGGUGAAGCGAACUCGAGCGUUGUGGUUGACGCGUUGGAAGUGGUGCUCGAGGAGUGCGAGGAGGAUGGCAGGCGCUGCGAGCCACCAGAGCUGCAGCGCCGCUAUCGCUUUCUACGGGGGCGUGCGCGGCGAGUGGCAGCGUUUGCGCCCGCUGCGGCGCUUGGUUGGUUGGCCGACGGAUCUCGCUUCAUACCAGAGCCAGACUACUUGCAACUGCCGUGGUGCGCGGCACACGCGGCAGCGUUGACUCUGACUGCCGCGCAGGUGCAUGCAACAUCUUCCUCUACUCCUUCGCAUGCUCACGUGUCUUUGGCAGAGCUUGACGCCUGUAUGGACACCCUCCAGUUCACAGCCGAGCAGCAGACGGGCCUGCAUGAGCUCGCCUACAGUGUGCUGUAUCUCGCCUCGCUGACAUUCACAUCACAGAGGGGGUCCAGCGGCGGCCCUGCAGCGGUCUCCUCCAACUCACUGCCGGCGCUGAGCGCUGCCGCCCAGCUUCUGCGCCUGCCAGCGAGUGAGCUUGUCGCCGCGUUGACGACAGUGGCGGCACGCGAGGGUGUCCAGUCCACCUCAGUGGCAACGCGGCAUGCCUUAAACUGCGCCGGCGCGAUGCAGAUGCAGCGCACUCUAGUGGCGCACCUUGGCGGACUGGUGGUGCGCACGCUGAUGUAUCUCAUCAACGCAGCCCUUCACGUUGAUGGCCGCGUCGCUGCGGAGGCGCGCACCCUCACACUUGCUGCCACCGCCGAUAUCGAAGACACGGCGGGACAGGAGCAACAUGCUCACAUGCCCGACGCACACGGGGAGCGUCACGAAGGGUGCGGAUGCGGCCUUACGAAGUGGUACGCCGCGUACGUACGCUGCCACGCCUCCAUGGCUGUACGCGAUCGGCUUGUCGGCGCCCUGCAACGCGAGGCGUGCUACGAAGGAGUGGAGCUGGAGGUGGACAGCUGGCUUGAUGAGCUCUCCGCCGCAUCGACUGCACCCAUCACCACAGCACUUCGACUGGGCAGAGUAGCCGCAGAGGUGCGCGAGAUUGCGACGCGGGUCAUGAUGCCAUCGGCGAAGCAGCGAGGGAAAGGCAUCAUUGUCACCCCUCACACCGCUGCCGUUGCUUACGACUUCGCUGACACCACAUGUGAUAUCCCUGUGCUAUCGGAACUGGCGCACAUUCUGGAGGCAGUAACGUCCAGGUGUAUCGGCGUCGAUGUCUCCGCGGCGCCGCCUUUGUCUUCACCGGAAGCGGUGCAGUGCAUACUCACGGAGCAGCUUCAGGCGCUGGCGGCAUCGGCGCGUCAGGCAACAGCCAGCGAAGUGGUCGACACAGCCAUGCGGGCGGCAGAGGUGGUGUGCACGUGGGAGGGCACGGCGUCUGCCGACAGCAGUGCGUGUGAUGGAGCUCUUUUGCUCACCUUCCCGUGUGGUCUACACCCCCCUCUUAGACUAUCUGUGCGCUGCCUUGCUGUUGACAUCUUUACCGCUGCACGCCUCUGCGUGACGGGCGCCACGCUAGCGAUGCAGCAGAUCAUAGGUGACGUGAGCAAACGGUGCGCGUCUUGGACCUCCGCCGGCAUCUCACCCGAAGGUGAGGGGAGGGGCGAAGCACGGAUGGUGCAGAUCCCACUGCAUCAUGUGGAUCGCGGCCGUGGUGGAGAGGAGGGGAUGAGUGCUUCACCUACGCUAACCCCGUUCUCUGCCCACGCAGCCCUGCAGUCCAUACUCGCUCAUCGUCACCGCAGCCGCAGUUCCAUUGCUAACAUAGCGAUGAAUGUCGGUCAUCGUGACGACCACACCGCCUCUCUGGCGUCCGACUUCUGGUAUGUCAUCCUCGCCGUUCCCGUCCUAGCGGAGACUGCGAGCUGGGGGUCUUUGCCGGAUGCCGGCGACUUGGACCAGCACCAGCGGAGCUCACCAGGUGCCUACCCUUUCCUCGAGCCUGUGCUUCCCCACGAAGCACCAGUUCCCCCCACACCUGCACCGAGGGUGGCGAUGACGCGCGACGACGCCCUGGCGACACAUCUGCAUGAGCGCGAUCCGCUUCUACUCGCCUUGUUCUUCUGGUCUCGCCUCUGCCACUGCCACGUGUGCCCGGUGCCUGUGUUUGCGAAGGUGUGUGCGGUGCCGCUGUUAACGUCGUACGCGCAGUGGCGUCCGUCUAUGAGAGCGUCAUCACACAAUACAGCGACCACUAGCUCGGCAGCCGUGGAGGGCCGAGAGACUUUUCUGAGCGAGAGCACUGCGCGCACGGUAACCGACUCCGCCUCCAGCGCUCCUGUACGCACGCCACGGCUACGCAUGCGUGCCAUGGCGCCUGACGACGCGGCCGCCGAGUUUCUGAAUCGAGUGCGUCAUCUGCAACGUCAGGCACGGCACCGCGAGCUGUGCUUACUGGCGCUCACAGAGGUACCCUGCUGCAGCGAUGGCGGUGUGGUGCUUGGGGUGAGUGCCGUUUUCCUGAGAUCUGCCGCCGUGGCGGCGAUACGGUCGUGCUGCGCGGAGCUGAGCGAGACGGCCGUGCGGUGCCUUCAAGAGACCGGCCGCGGCUUCCUUGCCCGCCGCCGCCUUUGCUUUGCGCACGAGCAGCAGCGGCAGCAACGCCAACAGGAACAUCGCCGAUCACUGCGUUUGACCAACAGCUGCCUCGAGAACGCGGCGGCGCCGGCGUCGGCGGAGAUGCGGGAGCGCGGGGCUCUCGAGCACGCGAGAGACGCACAGCUGGCGCAGGCAGCCCACGAGCGGACGCAUGCCCUCACUUACUCUACGCGGCACCUUAGCCACAAUGUUAGUCGGCUGCAGCAGGGAUGGACGGAGACACUGGAACUGCUGGAGGGCGAGCUGGUGGGCGCCAUGGUGCAGAUCAACACAUACGAGACGCAGAGGUGGUCCGCCGAGGACGCGGCGCGGCAGGAGGCGCGUCUGGCGCUGCGCGUCCACGAGGAGGCGUGGAACGAAGUCUGGGCGGGUGCAAAGGGACUUCGAACGCGUCGUCAGGCGGCCCUGGUGGAGCGGCGGCGGCGUCGCCCAUUUCCUCUUGCACAGAGUGCAAGUCAGGGCACGACAGCGAUCGAGGAAGGGAUCCGACGAGCAACUGCCGCUGCCCAUCACACGUCGCAGCUGAGGCGCGAGGCAGCACAGUCAGCAGAGGCGGCGUUGCUGUCACAGUUGAUACGAGCGAGCCGUCGCGAGGAUGCGCAGUCGCUUGCAGAUCACGUACGGCGGCAGGAGGCGCGUGCGAUGCGCCUGGCGGACAGCCGCCAGCACGAAAACAACGACGCAGUUGCGUCUGAGGAGGCACAGCGACAUGGCGGACGGCGCGAGAGUGAAAUCACUGCGACGCUGCCACGGCACGUGGAAUCGCCAACGGACUUUGCGAGACGGCAGCACAGCAACCCUGAGGGACUGGUGCUUACCCGUCCGCGCCACUCAUCGGAUCAGCGAAGCACGGGCGUUGCGCUUACUCGCUCUCUCGGUGAAGGCCGCACUCGAUCGAUAUCUGUAUCGCGCAGCGAGCGUGGCGGGGCCGGGCGCACGCCCAUUGCGUCGAUCGAGCACACAACGACGGCAACGGCGGAUCCGUCCGAGUGGGCGGUGCAGCGGGACUUGAUGUCGCUGUGGGAGUCAUCUCGCAUGUCGGUUUGAGCUCCUCUCCUCUCUCUCCACCCUCUUCUCUCUUAUCGCCCUCCAAAAACGAGACGGCAAUGCGAAUGUGUGCGACUGUGUGCGUGCGCGCUCUGUGAUGGCUCUCUGCCCUUGUGUUACUGUCUCGCUCUCGCUGGGCUCUCGAUAGCUUCUUCAUCCUUGGAGCACAACAGCAUCUGCGGUGCACGGCGUGCCCCUUUCUCCUCGCCGUUUUUCUUCUCUCUCGGCGCUUUAGACAUACAGCGAGAAG